CGGCAGCGGGUCCUUCGGGAUGCCGGCGAGCGGCGGACGGGUGAGUAAUGCCUAGGAAUCUGCCUGGUAGUGGGGGAUAACGCGGGGAAACUCGCGCUAAUACCGCAUACGUCCUACGGGAGAAAGUGGGGGACCUUCGGGCCUCACGCUAUCAGAUGAGCCUAGGUCGGAUUAGCUAGUUGGUAGGG
rnacentral:rRNA from 1 species